rnacentral:rRNA from 1 species
CCUACGGGUGGCUGCAGUGGGGAAUCUUGCACAAUGGGGGAAACCCUGAUGCAGCGACGCCGCGUGAGCGAUGAAGCCCUUCGGGGUGUAAAGCUCUUUCGGCAGGAACGAUAAUGACGGUACCUGCAGAAGAAGCUGCGGCUAACUACGUGCCAGCAGCCGCGGUAAUACGUAGGCAGCAAGCGUUGUUCGGAAUUACUGGGCGUAAAGAGUGUGUAGGUGGUGUCGUAAGUUUGGUGUGAAAUCUCCCGGCUUAACUGGGAGGGUGCGCCGAA